UCCUUCGUGCUGGGGAUUGGGGUUUG
rnacentral:piRNA from 1 species